rnacentral:rRNA from 1 species
UAGUUGGUAGGGUAAAGGCCUACCAAGGCGACGAUCCGUAGCGGGUCUGAGAGGAUGAUCCGCCACACUGGGACUGAGACACGGCCCAGACUCCUACGGGAGGCAGCAGUGGGGAAUUUUGGACAAUGGGCGCAAGCCUGAUCCAGCCAUGCCGCGUGAGUGAAGAAGGCCUUCGGGUUGUAAAGCUCUUUCAGACGGAAAGAAAUCGGUGUGUCUAAUACACGCACUGGAUGACGGUACCGUAAGAAGAAGCACCGGCUAACUACGUGCCAGCAGCCGCGGUAAUACGUAGGGUGCGAGCGUUAAUCGGAAUUACUGGGCUUAAAUCGUGCGCAGGCGGUUAUGUAAGACAGAUGUGAAAUCCCCGGGCUCAACCUGGGAACUGCGUUUUGUGACUGCAUAACUAGAGUACUGCAGAGGGAGGUGG